rnacentral:tRNA from 1 species
GAGGUGGUGGUUCAGUGAUAGAAUUCUCACCUUCCAUGCGGGCAACCCAGGUUUGAUUUCUGGCCAAUGCA